rnacentral:rRNA from 1 species
UACGUAGGGGGGCAAGCGUUGUCCGGAAUUAUUGGGCGUAAAGAGCGCGUAGGCGGUCCGAUAAGUCGGCUGUGAAAAGUCAGGGGCUCAACCCCUUGAAAGCCGGCCGAUACUGUCGGACUAGAGUCCGGAAGAGGCAAGUGGAAUUCCCCGGUGUAGCGGUGAAAUGCGCAGAUAUCGGGAGGAACACCAAUGGCGAAGGCAGCUCGCUGGACGACGUAGACGCUGAGGCGCGAAAGCGUGGGGAGCAAACAGG